GGGGAAAUUGAUACGUACACAUAUAGUAUUUAGUUAGAUGUGUAUCACCAUAUUUCCCCAUAGCAUUUUGCUUUCUGAUGACUGCAUUUUGUUAAGACUUUAAAAUGUGGACAGAUACGAAGCACACAUCA